rnacentral:rRNA from 1 species
CCUACGGGAGGCAGCAGUGAGGAAUAUUGGUCAAUGGGCGGAAGCCUGACCCAGCCACGUAGCGUGAAGGAUGACGGCCCUACGAGUUGUAACCUGCUUUUGUACGGGAAUAACGUGCCUUACGUGUUGGGCUUUGCAUGUACCGUAUGAGUAAGGACAGGCUCAUUCAGUGCCAGCAGACGAGGUACUACGGUGGGUCUGGGCGUUAUGCGGAUUUAUUGGGUUUAAAGGGAACGUAGGCCGCAUGUCAAGCGUGCGGUGAAAUGCCCGCGCUCAACCCGGGCAUUGCAGCGCGAACUGGCAAGCUGGAGUCUGCGGAAAGCUGGCGGAAUUCGUCGUGUAGCGGUGAAAUGCGUAGAUAUGUCGAAGAACCUCGAUUGCGAAGGCAACUAGCUGCAGCAUAACUGACGCGGAUGAGCGAAAGCGCGGGUAGCGAACAGGAUUAGAUACCCUGGUAGUC